rnacentral:lncRNA from 1 species
GUUAGAAGAGCACACAUAGAGGCUGGCGGUUGAUUACCCCUCUUUGCUGUCUAACGCAGCAGAGCUCUGAGAUGGACGUUGCGAUGCUAUGUGAGGUCUUAGUGUGCUUUGGAUCGUAUCACACAGAGGUUGUGGCUUCUGCUUCUUCUGAGGAUGCUUGAAUUUAAAGACAGAACCCAGGGAUUUUUUUUUUUUUUUUCUUUAAAGAAAUGCCUUGUAGAAGAGGACAGUUCUACAAUUGCUUGCACCAAGGACAAUUCUUUGAUAAUAUUUUAAUGUUGUUUUGGCUUCAUCUGAAUGUAAGUGCAAGGCUGAGAAAUAGACUUAAAACAACCCCAGAUUCAGUCCUGCUGAUUCAGGCACCAGAGAUGCCCUUUCCGCAUUCCCUGGAAGUUACAGUCUGGGGUUCCCUGCUCCUGUUCCCUGCUCUUCUUUACCUGAGGCCACGGAGUGGGGGCAGCUCCUCAUGGGAGGAAGAUGGCCUUCUCCUCACGAGAUCAGAAUCUGGAGAAACCCACCAGCAUCCUUUGCCUUUAGCUUCUCAAGAUUGCUGGCAGAAAUAUUAAUAACCUCAGAUAUGCAGAUGACACCACCUUUAUGGCAGAAAGCAAAGAGGUACUAAAGAGUCUCUCAAUGAAAGUGAAAGAGGAAGGUGAAAAAGCUGGCUUAAAACUCAACAUUCAAAAAACUAAGAUCAUGGCAUCUGGGCUCAUCACUUCAUGGCAAAUAGAUGGGGAAACAAUGGCAACAGUGAUAGGUUUUAUUUUCUUGGGGUCCAAAAUCACUGCAGAUGGUGAAAUUAUCCGUAGCCAUGCAGAAAUGACUGCAGCCAUGAAAUUAAAAGACCCUUGCUUCUUGGAAGAAAAGCUAUGACCAACCUAGACAGCAUAUUAAAAAGCAGAGACAUUACUUCGCCAACAACGGUUCAUCUAGUCAAAGCCAUGGUUUUUCCAGUAGUCAUGUAUGGAUGUGAGAGUUGUACUGUAAAGAAAGCUGAGCACCGAAGAACUGAUGCUUUUGAACUGUGGUGUUGGAGAAGACUCUUGAGAGUCCUUUGGACUACAAAGAGAUCAAACCAUUCACCUCUAAAGGAAAUCAGUUCUGAAUAUUCAUUGGAAGGACUGAUGCUGAAGCUGAAACUCCAAUACUUUGGCCACCUGAUGGGAGGAACUGACUCAUUGUAAAAGACCCUGAUGCUGGGCAAGAUUGAAGGCAGGAGGAGAAGGGGAUGACAGAGGAUGAGAUGGUUGGAUGGCAUCACCAAUUCAAUGGACAUGAACUUGGGCAAACUCCUGGAGAUGGUGAUGGACAGGGAAGCCUGAUGUGUUGUAGUCCAUGGUGUUGUGAAGAGUUAGAUACAACUUGGUGACUGAACAACCAGGGAGUAGAGGCUGAAGAUCUGUUUAUAAAUGUCACACUGUCUCCCUAAGGUCCAGCAGGUACACUGGAACACCUUUCAAGCCCUGGAUGAAUGUCUUGUUUGUGAGUUCAUGGUUCUCUGGGUUAUGAGGUUCACUGUUUCAUCCAUCACCUGUGGUUUAGAAGAACAAAGUGGUUGCAAUUUAA